rnacentral:rRNA from 1 species
UGACCGCGGAUCAGGUGAGGAUACCGCCUGAAUUUAA